AGGCAAACAAUUUUAAAAAGUUCAACACUCACCAGGGAACCAGGUUUGCUAAAGUAAUUAUGGUGAUAGGAAUGUAUUGGCCUCAGAUGUUACUGAGGUUGCCCAUUCUAUCCUAAUACAGGA